UACGUAGGGGGCAAGCGUUGUCCGGAAUCAUUGGGCGUAAAGCGCGUGUAGGCGGCCCGGUAAGUCCGCUGUAAAAGUCCAGGGCUCAACCCUGGAAAGCCGGUGGAUACUGUCGGGCUAGAGUCCGGAAGAGGCGAGUGGAAUUCCUGGUGUAGCGGUGGAAUGCGCAGAUAUCAGGAGGAACACCGAUGGCGAAGGCAGCUCGCUGGGACGGUACUGACGCUGAGGCGCGAAAGCGUGGGGAGCGAACAGG
rnacentral:rRNA from 1 species